rnacentral:sRNA from 1 species
GUGUACUUAUAUACAUAAAAUAAAUAAUUCUUUAAAAAGGUUUAAAAAAUGAAAAAAGAAAAUAGGAUAGUUCAACAUUACAAAAAUGUAAAUAGUAGGGUGGGUCUCUAGAGUUAAAUUCUAUGGUGUUUAGGAGUGUGGGACUAACUCAGGAUUCAGUCAAGAAAAGCCUCUGUUUUCUGAUCUGGGCUAUGAGGCAGGCAGGAGCAGUUGGAAUGUGAAUACUCUGGAAAAUAAUCCAGUUUUUGAUGAAACACAUUGACCCCUAGGUGCCUCUUUUGGGUAGGAACACAGCAGCUGAAAACAGCCUUCCUGAGUUCAAAUCCCAGCUGUAACGGAACCUCCAUGUUUUAGUUCUUUCAUCCUUACCCUGAUAGAGACCUACAUCCUAGGACCUUUGGAAGGUGAAAAGGUUUAAUUAAUAGAAUGAGUUAUUAUGAGUAGCAUCAAGCAUCCAUAUAACACCUGAACAGAACUGGGUUUAGUAUAUAAAGAGCUAAAUAGAUGGGAUUUCCUGGGAACAGGCCUGGAGCUGUGGUGAAUCAUGACUAGCCAUCAGGUGAUAACAGGAGGAGCUUGUUGGCCUUACAACCUUUUCAAUCUUCUCAUUUUACAAAUCACUUUUUAAAAAAUAUUGGCCCAGCAAACCCAAUACAUUCGUACCUGUCUUCUUUCAUUUAGUCUAUCCUUGUAUUUGAUCACUUUAGGGGCCUAGGCCACUGAGACUGCUAAGAAUAUAAAAUUAUGUUUGACUCAUAUUCUAUAGUAGAAAAUAUUUGAUUCUAAUAUAUUUGGACAAAGUCACAUUAGAAUUAAUUUUAUCAAAAUCACUGAUCUUUGUGUCUGAAAUACAAAGUAUCUUCUUUAUAAAUCAGUAGGUCUCAACCUCUGGAUUAUAACCCCUUUUGAGGUUGGGGGGGUCAAAUGACUGUUUCACAGGGGUCACCUAAGAUUAUGGGAAAGCACAAACAUUUACUUUACAAUUCAAAACAGUAGCAAAAUUACAAUUACGAAGUGGCAAUGAAAUAAUUUUAUGGUUGGAGAGCACCACAACAUGAGAAACUGUUUUAAAGGGUCACAGCCAUAGGAAGGUUGCUAAGCAAACACCAGCGCUGUGAAGCAAACAGACAUAGUCAGGGCCUCUAGUCUGCAAGGAGGUGCAUGUAUUAAGAGAUCUUUCUGAGUUAAACAAUACCUAAAAUACCGUGGCUGUCAUGUGCACUGGUUACUUUGUGUAACUUAGCAGUGCUUAUCUAAGAGUUGUGAUUAUUUCUUUCAUACAUACUGUUAGCAACAGCACCCAUCUUUCAGAACAAGGCUCACCCAUGAAGAAUUAACGAAGCUCAGUACAUGGUCAGAAGUUUCUCAAAACUGACAUUUCUCGAUUUCCCACUAGACAUGAGCGCAAGCAACCAGUGGAUUUUUUUUUUAAAUGACCUAAAUACAGUCAAUGGUGACAAUAAGGAAUGGAGAAUUCUAUAGUUUUAACAUUCUAACUCAUUUUCAUCAAAGAAAAGCAUAAAGUCUGAGGCAGCCCUGGGGCUGAAUCCAGUUCCUUCUAGUUUCAGAUUGUCUGAUUUUGGGCAGGUGGCUAAGCUGCUGGAUCUUUGUUUUUCCAUUCGCAAAGCAGAGUUAAUGCUGGUGUCUGGUGAACUGGUAAAUGUUUAACAAUGAGUUGUCAGUGAGCAAGAAAACACACAUUUAUGGGGGUUGCUGACUUCUACAGUAUAAUUCCCAUUGUGGCUUCUUUCGAGCUACCAAUGGGAUGUCCCUGAACACAGAGCUGUGAAGCAGUGAGUGACAGGAGGAUAACACUUCUACCCAUGAGAGGCACUGAGCCUUAGUCAGCCCGGGAGACAAGAUAAUAGUCUAGGAAGCAGUGCAUAGUGAUUACUGCAUCUGUUCUCCAGAUGCAUUGAUAUGGUUUGCAUCUAAAAUGGCCCCUUAAAAGCUCACGAAUUGAAGGCUUUAUUCUCACCGCAGUAGUGUUCAGAGGGUUGACUAGAUCAUGAGAGUUCUGACUUCAUCAGUGGAUUAACUCAUUGAUCAGGUCAUAGCCUGCUGAGCUAUCAAGAGGUGGUAGAAAUUCUGGGGAUGGGGCCUAGUGAAGGAAGUAGGUUAUUAGUGGCACUUCCUUGAAGGAUGCAUUUAUUCUCCAGGUGUACCCCUUCCCCAGGUUCCAUGCAUUCUCUAUUCUAUGCUGCUUUGCCCCAAUAUAGGCCAAGAAACAACAGAGCCAAGAGACCAUGGGCUGAAACCUCUGCUACAGUGAGCCACGUUAAGUAUUUCCUCUUUGCAAAUUGAUUAUCUAAUUUUGUCAUAGUGGUGUGAGGCUACUACAGUUAUUUAGGUUUAUAUACUUUGAGGUUUUUUUUUUUUAUUAAUGGUAGUAUAUAUAAUCCUGCUCAAGAAAUUCAUGCAAAUUCAUGUUGGCUUCCUGGAGCUUUGUGACUAGUUCCCACAUACUGCUGCCUAUCUCCAGGUCUUGGAUUUCCUAACUACUAUAUGAUACAAACACCACAGAAUACAAGACUAGAAUGUGAUCAAGUGUCCUUUCUGAUUCUCCAGGAUGGCCUUCCAGUCUGCCUUCCAAUUAGCCGUGCAUAUGGAGUCCCACCUUUCUCCUGCUAAAGUAUCAGUGAUGGACAGGUAGUGCCACUGUUGCUGAUUGACGCUUGCUAUCCCAACUCUACCAAACUGGACCGCUGGUGUAUCCAUGAAGUGUUUGCGUGUGGAUCAAGCUGCCAUUGCCUGCCACCCUGUGAACUGAAUUGCCAAUUUCCAAACAACAUAGAUGGAAGUUGCUCCAAAGAAACUUUCUAAACAGGUAUACUCCCCCACAAAACCCAUAUCCUUUGGUAUACUCCCCCACAAAACCCAUAUCCUCUCUUCCACUACCUCUGGUGGGCUACAAGAGAGGUUACAGCAUUCAAGAACCAUCAUUAAAAGUAGGUUUUGAAAAACGUAUAGAUCUCAGUAAUGCAUUCUUUCUCUCCCUCAACUCUGGCCUUGCUCUCAGCCUACUUGUGUUGACCAGAAUUGGGGCUCAGCUCCAGCCUUCCUGCCUGAUGCAAGGACCAUGUCCUGGAGUGUGGGCUAUGGAUUAGAGGGAAAUAGUUCUCUGAGGCUGGUGUUAGGAGGAAAGGCUAAGGGACCCACACUGGACAGCAAUAACCACAGGCAACUCUUCAGAGGCCUACCACACACGAUAGAAGUGAGAUUGCCGGUGCAGAGCAAGACUGAGAGACUUGGUCAGAACACAAACUCUGUGCACAAUGGAGAUGCAAUUUUGUCUGACUCUCAAGACUGCUACUUUCCUACACCAAAGAAUGAGUGCAUGUCCUUGGCCUGGAAACUGCUACCUUUUAACCUUGUGGCCUCUUCUCUCUCUGAACCUUCAGCAAACUUACUACUAAACAAGACCUAUCAGAGCAGAUUACAAUAACAUCCAAACUUUCAUCAGCACCCAGUGUUCCUGCUUUUCUGCAUCUGCUGCAACUGAAAAGGGGCUGGAUAUAAAUGGCAUUCUCUCCCCGCUGAGGGUCCCUUCCAAUUGUUUCUUCAACUGCCUCUCGUCCUGCUCUAAUGAGUACCCUUUGGCUGGAGCAUUUAGUUCAUUUAAUAGCUCAAGUUCACUUCCUCCUCCUCCUGUUUCUCCCAGUCCUCACUGUUCCCUGCUUCAUUAUGAAGCAAACACUUCUUUCCACUAUAUUGACCCAAAUAUUUUUGUCAGUUUACUUGUGUCACUGAAAACCUAGUAUUUAUUCAGGCCAACCACAAAGACUGUGUUGUGAAGCUGUGGCUGUAGCUAGAUCACCUUUCAUUGGCAUGGAUUUUUUUUAAAUGCCAGUGUCUUUCAAAUAUAAUACAGGAUGGCAUAUCAUUUCAUUACCCUGACAAAUAGUCUGUGAUACUUUUAAUUCUUACUGAUUUUGUUACUCUGUAACAUUUACUGUGUAACUUUGGCAUUGUCAUUCCGUUGUUGUAAGGCUGUGUGGCUAUAGCUUUGGACUUUGUUUAUUUGAAGAUUUUUUUCUGUCAUCUCUACCAUGCACAUUUUAUAUUAAUCUUUUUUUAAAAUUAUUUGUAUAUGUGUGUUGGGGAUAUACACACGUAAGUAUACCUACUCCUCCAGGAGCCUAUGGAGUCCAGAAGAGGUUAAUAGCACCAGGAGAGCUGGAGUUACAUGUGAGCUGUUCAACACAAGCACUGAUUUUCUGCCAGCCGAGUACACACCCUUAACUACUGAGCCAUCACUCCAGCCCUUUCCUUUCUGUUCAAUUGCUUUAUAAAUGAUAAAAGUGUGUAUUGGUCCAUCUAACAAACCUUAUUUAACAACUGUUUGAAUGUCCUCUAUGAAUUACUUUCAGGUAUGGUAAAAUAUGUUUAUAAUUAUAUUAGAUAACAUUCUAAAUAUAAUACAUAAUAUUCAUAUACUAUGAUUAUGAUAAUAUAGACAAUAUCUGUAUGCACGUACCUCUCCUGACUAUUAGGAUAAUUUUCAUUUUCAUUCCAUGAAUUCUCACACUUAAGAUCACUAUAAUGAACAUUUUGGUAGCUCCUUGUAGUACUAUAUCAGUAAUCUUGUUUCUACACCAUCUUCAUCAUUUGUGAGAUAAAAUUUGAAAAUACAAAGCCACCCUAUGAAUAAGCUUUUGACUGUCUCUCCUUCCUAAUUUCUCAUCACUUCUCAACUUCACACUUUUUCAAUAACCACUCUAAUUAAAUAUAGUCAUUGUUUUUUAAAUUUAGAAUACCUUUAGAAUGAACAUGAAAUUGCUACUAUCCUGAACCGGUCUGCCUCCAUUUUGGGUUUGAAAGUCAUCUUACAAUAAAGACAAACUAUAUUCUUUCCUAUUAAUGAUAAAAUCUCUGUGUCUCAAAGAUUGUGCUAUGCCCGACCUGUAACCUUAACUACAAAUGGUUCUGUACUGCCUGUUCUGGGGAAACAGCAGCCAUGUCUUUCUUUCGAAAAGUUGUUAUUAACUUGCAAUUGUGCCUUUGUUUCAGGAGGUUGUUACCACAAUCUUGCAACCAUAAUUUGGUUUCAAAAGGUUAUUAUGACCAACUGUUGCUAUGACUACCUUAAUAUAUUUUGCUUCUGUAACCCCACCUAUUUGCCCACCAAUCCCCUAUUUGGAAACCCUGUACCCCUGACCAAUGCUGACCUCUUGAAUCCUGCUUUAGCACAGAGCCAGCCUGUGUACACACAAAUAAAAUAGGCUUACUUU